rnacentral:sRNA from 1 species
AAAAAUAGAUAAAACACUGUGUCUUGAUUGGGGAAAGAAAUUUAAGGAAAAUAGACAGCAAAGGGGCAAGUAGGAAGCUCGGAUGAAGAAAGUGAAGGGAAAAACAAGAGGGAGGCCUGAAAUGAAUGUUCGAAAUUUUGGGUAGGACAAAAUCUACUUAGCAGUCAUCUGCCACAGAAUAGGCCAUUUGCAUACAUGUCCCAGUGAUCACCCCUUUUCUGCUCUUUCCCCACCCUGGUCUGCAGUCUGGAGAUGCCCAAAGAUGAGCUGCCCAACCAUAACUGCAUUAAGCACCUGCGCUCAGUGGUACAGCAGCAGCAGACACGCAUCGCAGAGCUGGAGAAGACGUCGGCUGAACACAAACACCAGCUGGCGGAGCAGAAGCGAGACAUCCAGCUGCUAAAGGCAUACAUGCGUGCAAUCCGCAGUGUCAACCCCAACCUUCAGAACCUGGAGGAGACAAUUGAAUACAACGAGAUCCUAGAGUGGGUGAACUCCCUUCAGCCAGCAAGAGUGACCCGCUGGGGAGGGAUGAUCUCGACUCCUGAUGCUGUGCUCCAGGCUGUAAUCAAGCGCUCCCUGGUGGAGAGUGGCUGUCCUGCUUCUAUUGUCAACGAGCUGAUUGAAAAUGCCCAUGAGCGUAGCUGGCCCCAGGGUCUGGCCACACUAGAGACUAGACAGAUGAACCGACGCUACU